rnacentral:rRNA from 1 species
UGAAGCGGCAAAAGCUCAAAUUUGAAAUCUGGCGUCUUCGACGUCCGAGUUGUAAUUUGAAGAAGGCGACUUUGUAGCUGGUCCUUGUCUAUGUUCCUUGGAACAGGACGUCAUAGAGGGUGAGAAUCCCGUGUGGCGAGGAUCCCAGUUAUUUGUAAAGUGCUUUCGACGAGUCGAGUUGUUUGGGAAUGCAGCUCUAAGUGGGUGGUAAAUUCCAUCUAAAGCUAAAUAUUGGCGAGAGACCGAUAGCGAACAAGUACAGUGAUGGAAAGAUGAAAAGAACUUUGAAAAGAGAGUGAAAAAGUACGUGAAAUUGUUGAAAGGGAAGGGCAUUUGAUCAGACAUGGCGUUUGCUUCGGCUUUCGCUGGGCCAGCAUCAGUUUUAGCGGUUGGAUAAAUCCUCGGGAAUGUGGCUCUGCUUCGGUAGAGUGUUAUAGCCCGUGGGAAUACAGCCAGCUGGGACUGAGGAUUGCGACUUUUGUCAAGGAUGCUGGCGUAAUGGUUAAAUGCCGCCCGUCUUGAAACACGGACCAA